AUAAAAAACAGGAAGAUUUUGCACAAAGGAAACCUGGUUCUGACUUGAGCCUCCAGACAGUAUAUGGUGAAUAUUCAUUCUAACAUGCUAUCAGACUUCAGAUCAACACAGCUAACCAUGUCUCUAACAUGCUACUGCUACCACUUAGAUUUGGGAUCUAGCUCACAUUUUUCUUCCUUGUUAAGUUUAGACAGCAUUCUUUUAAAUUUACAAAACAAAAUCUUCAUAUCUUAUCUGAUGUCCUUUGUCAGCUUGUUACAAGGAAGACUGAUUUUCCUUGAAACUACUCAAUGGCUUGAUCAGGCAGGGAAAGAGUUAAGCAGGUUCCACUGACCCACUGGAGCAGGUGGCUCUUUAGCUCAGCUGGAUGGAAGGGAAAUGGAAGUGAUUUUUUGGAGGAGAGAGGAGCUGUGGAAAAACCUGAGAAGCCUGCUGGUACUUCUGAGUUUUAACGGCCAAGCUUCAGUGCUAAUGCAUUGUGCAUCUGUGCUGCAUGCUAAUACAUCUAGAUACCUGCGGCCAAACUCAGAUGUGGCGUAAGUGGCCGUCUGACGUUAAUGGAACUGCACCUGCUGAAGGUGAAGCUGAAUUUGCUCCCUGGAAUCAAAGAUAACAAGAGCUAUUGUGAAGAGUGAAGGUCUGCUUUCCAGCAGGGUCAGUAGGGACAUCCCCUUUCACAAAUCAUGUCUCCAUUGAAGAUGAUGUAUUUUGGGAUCAAUCCUAUGAGGGCCCAAUACCUGCUGCAAGGUAAAUGCCAAUUGGGAGGCAUGCAUCUUCAUGGCUGGUCAGUAAAGUGAGUUUCUUUGGAUUUACACCACUGUAAGUAGGAGCAGAAUUUGGCCUCAACUGAAGCAGAUAACCUUGGUGACAAAGCAAGGACUCUCAU